rnacentral:rRNA from 1 species
UACGUAGGAGACGAGCGUUGUCCGGAAUUACUGGGCGUAAAGCGCGUGUAGGCGGAUGGGCAAGUCUGCUGUGAAAGCUCCUGGCUUAACCGGGAGUGGUCGGUGGAAACUGCCAAUCUGGAGGACGGUAGAGGUAGGUAGAAUUCCCGGUGUAGUGGUGAAAUGCGCAGAUAUCGGGAAGAACACCCGUGGCGAAGGCGGCUACCUGGACCAGCACUGACACUGAGGCACGAAAGCGUGGGGAGCAAACAGG